AAUAUCAGAGACAAUUAAAUCAGAAUACUCUCACACACUCACAGCAGAGAUUCAGAUUCACACACUAGAGCUUAUCUGCGAGAUCCACAGUGUGUGUGUGUGUGUGUGUGUGUGUUUGCAUAUGGAGUGCUGUGAGUGUUUAUAGUGCUGCGAGUUGAACACUUCAUCACUGACACACACAUCAAUCUUCAUCAUCAUGACCUUCAUCAUCAUCUUCAUCUGGACUCUCACAGCGUUUGCUCGAGAGUGUGGAGGACAGAUCAGCGUCACUCAGAGUCCCUCAAUCACAGCAGAACCAGACAAACCCGUCACCAUCACCUGCAGAACCAGCACAAAUGUGUACAGUGACAGUACAUAUGGGCCACGUUUAGCCUGGUACUUACAGAAACCUGGAGAAGCUCCUAAACUCCUGAUUCAUUUAACAAACCGUCUCCAGUCAGGAACUGCAUCUAGAUUCAGUGGCAGUGGAUCUAACAGAGAUUUCACUCUGAGCAUCAGUGGAGUCCAGACUGAAGAUGCUGGACAUUAUUACUGUCAGAGUUUACACAGUGGUCCAGUGUACACACAGUGAUAAAGAGUGUUACAAAAACCUCCGUCCGUCAGUCAGAGUCACAGAAACUGAACUGAUCCUGGAGCAGCUCAAAGACUUAACACACACAAUGGCUUUGA